UACGUAGGUGGCAAGCGUUGUCCGGAUUUACUGGGCGUAAAGAGCGCGCAGGCGGUCGUACAAGUCGCGUGUGAAAGCCCCCGGCUCAACUGGGGAGGGUCACGCGAUACUGUUCGACUCGAAGGCAGGAGAGGGAAGCGGAAUUCCCGGUGUAGUGGUGAAAUGCGUAGAUAUCUGGAGGAACACCGGUGGCGAAGGCGGCAUCCUGGACCAACACUGACGCUGAGGAGCGAAAGCCAGGGGAGCAAACGGG
rnacentral:rRNA from 1 species